GCUGGGGAAGCAAAUUAUGUUUUAAGAGGUGAAAAGGCUCUAAAUCAUAAUACAGAAACUCCCAUGAGCCAGCGAGGAGCUCAGGCUUCUUUUUAAAGGUCCUUCUACAUUAGCUGAGGCUGGCGUUUGCAGAGGAGGGGAGCUGUGAUUUAAAUAGGCAACCUGCUGGAUCAAAGCCUGUCUUGCUGUUCUUCUGGCUACAGGCUUUCUGCUUGCUUCACAUUUAUUGCUUGCUCAGAAAACAUGCUGCUUCCAUCAGGGUGAGGUCCUCCCGCAUUAGGACCGAGGAGCCUCGGCUAAGCAGUACCUGCAAUAACAGCUCUGACAUCACUGGCCGAGCUUUCAUAUUCGACUUUGCUAUCCCAUCGGGGUCCACUACUGGUCACCACGCAAAGGAAGCACUCUCUGGAGAAUCAGAACUUACUUCAUACCUAUUCCCAGGAGAAGAAGCCGACAACAAUGUCACACCGAGACGAAGACGUCCAGGUAGAGACGAUCGUAGGACUCCCUGAAGAAGAGGACAAGGACGAGGCUGAAGAGGCACGAACCGGUUACACACCAGUUCAGCCACGACAAGUCUGCAUGAGACAAAA